rnacentral:rRNA from 1 species
UACGGGGGGGAGCAAGCGUUGUUCGGAUUUACUGGGCGUAAAGGGCGCGUAGGCGGCCUCUGCAAGUCGACUGUGAAAUCUCCGGGCUUAACCCGGAACGGUCAGCCGAUACUGCAGGGCUAGAGUGCAGAAGGGGCAACUGGAAUUCUCGGUGUAGCGGUGAAAUGCGUAGAUAUCGAGAGGAACACCUGCGGCGAAGGCGGGUUGCUGGGCUGACACUGACGCUGAUGCGCGAAAGCUAGGGGAGCGAACGGG